UACGAAGGGUGCAAGCGUUACUCGGAAUUACUGGGCGUAAAGCGUGCGUAGGUGGUUUGUUAAGUCUGUUGUGAAAGCCCCGGGCUCAACCUGGGAAUGCCGCUUAAUACUGCCUAACUAGAGUAUUGUAGAGGAAAGUGGAAUUUCCGGUGUAGCGGUGAAAUGCGUAGAUAUCGGAAGGAACAUCAGUGGCGAAGGCGACUUUCUGGACAAAUACUGACACUGAGGCACGGAAAGCAUGGGGAGCAAACAGG
rnacentral:rRNA from 1 species